rnacentral:rRNA from 1 species
UACGAAGGGGGCUAGCGUUGCUCGGAAUCACUGGGCGUAAAGCGCACGUAGGCGGCUUUUUAAGUCAGGGGUGAAAUCCUGGAGCUCAACUCCAGAACUGCCUUUGAUACUGAGAAGCUUGAGUCCGGGAGAGGUGAGUGGAACUGCGAGUGUAGAGGUGAAAUUCGUAGAUAUUCGCAAGAACACCAGUGGCGAAGGCGGCUCACUGGCCCGGUACUGACGCUGAGAUGCGAAAGCGUGGGAGCAAACAGG